UGAAGUCGGAAUCGCUAGUAAUCGCGGAUCAGCAUGCCGCGGUGAAUACGUUCUCGGGUCUUGUACACACCGCCCGUCACACCAUGGAAGUGGAUUGCACCAGAAGUAGAUAGUCUAACCUUCGGGAGGGCGUUUACCACGGUGUGCUUCAUGACUGGGGUGAAGUCGUAACAAGGUAGCCGUAGGGGAACCUGUGGC
rnacentral:rRNA from 1 species